CCUACGGGCGGCAGCAGUGGGGAAUAUUGGACAAUGGGCGAAAGCCUGAUCCAGCCAUGCCGCGUGUGUGAAGAAGGCUUUCGGGUUGUAAAGCACUUUCAGUGGGGAAGAAAGCCUUGGGGCUAAUACCCUCGAGGAAGGACAUCACCCACAGAAGAAGCACCGGCUAACUCCGUGCCAGCAGCCGCGGUAAUACGGAGGGUGCGAGCGUUAAUCGGAAUUACUGGGCGUAAAGCGCGCGUAGGCGGUCUGAUAAGCCGGUUGUGAAAGCCCCGGGCUCAACCUGGGAACGGCAUCCGGAACUGUCAGGCUAGAGUGCAGGAGAGGAAGGUAGAAUUCCCGGUGUAGCGGUGAAAUGCGUAGAGAUCGGGAGGAAUACCAGUGGCGAAGGCGGCCUUCUGGACUGACACUGACGCUGAGGUGCGAAAGCGUGGGUAGCAAACAGGAUUAGAUACCCGAGUAGUC
rnacentral:rRNA from 1 species